rnacentral:rRNA from 1 species
UACCAGCACCCCGAGUGGUCGGGACGUUAUUGGGCCUAAAGCAUCCGUAGCCGGUCAUGCAAGUCUUCCGUUAAAUCCAGCCGCUCAACGGUUGGGCUGCGGAGGAUACUACGUGGCUAGGAGGCGGGAGAGGCAAGCGGUACUAGUGGGUAGGGGUAAAAUCCGUUGAUCCAUAGAAGACCACCAGUGGCGAAGGCGGCUUGCCAGAACGCGCUCGACGGUGAGGGAUGAAAGCUGGGGGAGCAAACCGG